AAAGUCGUAACAAGGUUUCCGUAGGUGAACCUGCGGAAGGAUCAUUAUCGAUUCUAAAAAAAGGAUGUGCUGGCUUCACUCUCCAAAGGAGUGAGGUAGAUGUGCACUCUGAAUCAAUCAACACCUGUGCACCUUUUUGUAGGUAAAGAGGGGGAGUUUCAUCCCUCUUAAGCCUAUGUAUUUUUUUAAUACACACCAACACAAACUUGUUUUUAAUGGGUUCAAUAAAUAACAAUACAACUUUCAACAAUGGAUCUCUUGGUUCUC
rnacentral:misc_RNA from 1 species